rnacentral:lncRNA from 1 species
GAUAAGCCUGCUUUUUUGACUUAAGAGAAUUUACAUUGAUUACGAGAAUUAAUUGCUCAGUAUAACCCCAUGAUGCAAAAAUGACAAAAGUCCUUUAGAAAGGUGAGAAAUUUCAUUAUAAGGCGACCAAGAAUAAGAACAUCAUUGCUACAAAGUUGAUGAGUUUGAUCAAGGGUAUCAAAUUGAAUAAGGAACAGAAGUUGAAGUGCUCUUUAGUUUGGUUCGUCCACUCGAUAUUGCUUGCCCAUGAUUGAUCUAAGAUUGUGGAUUCAAACCACAUUAAGAUGGAGGAUGAUUUAUAUUUCUUCAAGAGUUAUCUGUG